rnacentral:tRNA from 1 species
GGUCGCAUCGUCCAACAGGAGGACGCCCGCCCUGCAAGCGGGAGAUCCGGGUGCGAAUCCCGGUCGAUCC